UACGAAGGGGCUAGCGUUGCUCGGAAUCACUGGGCGUAAAGCGCACGUAGGCGGAUUGUUAAGUCAGGGGUGAAAUCCUGGAGCUCAACUCCAGAACUGCCUUUGAUACUGGCGAUCUCGAGUCCGGGAGAGGUGAGUGGAACUGCGAGUGUAGAGGUGAAAUUCGUAGAUAUUCGCAAGAACACCAGUGGCGAAGGCGGUUCUCUGGGCAUUACCUGACGCUGAGGAGCGGAAAGUGU
rnacentral:rRNA from 1 species